AGAGGCGCCUUGCACGACCCGAGCGUGGGAAAGGGGCUGCGGAGCUCCGCGUCGCGGCUCGAGAGCGUGGGAUGCCCGGGGGGUGUCCGAGGGAUCGAGGUCCCCCGGGCUGCGCGACACCCGUGGGCACGCUGCUCUGCAGAGCCUGGGUGGGCGAAGGGAGAGCAACGCACCUCUGCACCCCAAUUCUGCGUGUCCCCGAGAGCCGCCCUGCCUCUCCGCGGGGCGUCCUGGGCUGCUUCGGUCUGGGAAGGCUGCAGCUUUUGAACGCGGUUGGUUUCCCCUCUCUGGGAGGGCAAAGUGCCCUCGUGGAGUCAUUAAGACCAUUUCCAGAGGGGAACAUCCCCGUGGAGCCGCCAGGCUCGUGCCUCGAGGAGCUCGGUGGAGCUGGAAAGCGAGGAGCAGCCGCUCCUGCGGGCAGCUGAGAACAGACCCACGAGCCCUGAGCUCCCCGUCCUGCCCGCAGAACCCUCUGCAGCGCUGCCGAUGUACAGGUUUUCCAGAAGCAGAGCAGCCACUGGUGGCUUUGGGAGAAGCCAGGCAGAGAUGGGAGCAAACGGAGCAGGAAUGCCUGGAGAAGGUUGAGAUGCGGCACCCGCAGAGGUGGGAGUAGCCCCAUGGAGCCACACUGCCACUGUCCUGCAGGAGACAUCAGUGCUUCCCCUCUGCCGUGCCCAACCUUCACAGGAGCCCUGUGCUUCAGCUUCCUCCUCUUCUUUCUCUCGUGUUCAUCAUUCAUGUGCACACUGCAUUUCCUUUCUGCUUUCUCCCUUUUCUGUUCCUUGGAGAAGGCCCUGUGUGUUUCACCACCCUGAUGGGGCAGACAGGUUUUGUUCGAGUUGGUUUCAAUUGAACAUUUUGUGUGAAUGAGCUCUUCUCGCUUCUCCCUCUGUGCUCUCAGGUUCCCUUAUUAAACAGUUCUCUGC
rnacentral:lncRNA from 7 species